rnacentral:lncRNA from 1 species
GAUGUGCAGGAUGCAUUCUGGUUCUUAUGGUAGUUGCAGAACUGGAUGUCAUACCAUUGGAUGCUAUGACAUUGUACUACAAAGAUAAUAUUCUAUAGUCCUUGCUAAGGAGUCAAGGUCUCACUAGAAGUUCAUGCAUAUAGAACAAGGAUAUACGCGAUUAGCUCAAGUAGAAAUACAUGGAGGUACAGAGAGUAGACUCCACAUAAUAUGUGGUGGGCCC